CAGAUAAUAGUUUAAUGUAAAACACCAGCUUUGGGAGUUGGAGUUGAAAGAUUAAGUCCUUUUUCUCUGA
rnacentral:tRNA from 1 species